AAUGAAGUGCCUGAAAAUUUUAAAAGGAAUAUCUUGAUAGGAUAUAUCAUGUAACAAUAAUACCUUCAUUA
rnacentral:tRNA from 1 species